rnacentral:rRNA from 1 species
GACGAACGCUGGCGGCGUGGAUUAGGCAUGCAAGUCGAACGGUAUCAUCCUUUCGGGGGUGAGAGAGUGGCGAACUGGUGAGUAACACGUAGGUUAUCUACCCUCAAGACGGGGACAACCCAGGGAAACUUGGGCUAAUACCCGGAUGUGAGCAACUUUUAGUUGUUUGAAAGGUGGCGUAAGCUGUCGCUUGGGGAUGAGCCUGCGUCCUAUUAGUUAGUUGGUGAGGUAACGGCUCACCUAGGCAAUGAUAGGUAGGCGGCCUUAACGGGUGGUCGCCCACACUGGGAUUGAGAUACGGCCCAGACUCCUACGGGAGGCAGCAGUCGAGAAUAGUCUACAAUGGUCGGAAGACUGAUAGUGCGACGCCGCGUGAACGAUGAAUCCCUUCGGGGUGUAAAGUUCUUUUAUAUGUGAGCAGUGCUUCUUAUAUUAACAGUAUGGGGAGAGAGAUAUUAGCAAUAUGAAUAAGCAACGGCUAACUCCGUGCCAGCAGCCGGGU